GACGAACGCUGGCGGCGUGCUUAACACAUGCAAGUCGAACGGAAAGGCCCUGCUUUUGUUGGUUGCUCGAUUGGCGAACGGGUGAGUAACACGUGAGUAACCUGCCCUUGACUUUGUGAUAUCUUCAGGAAACUCGGGCUAAUACCGGAUAUGACCUCCUGCUGCAUGUUGGUGUUUGGAAAGUUUCGGCGGUUGGGGAUGGUCUCGCGGCUUAUCAGCUUGUUUGUGUGGUAGUGGCUUACCAAGGCUUUGACGGGUAGCCGGCCUGAGAGGGUGACCGGCCACAUGGGGACUGAGAUACGGCGCAGACUCCUACGGGAGGCAGCAGUGGGGAAUAUUGCAGAAUGGGCGGAAGCCUGAGGCAGAAACGCCGCGUGCGGGAUGACGGCCUUCGGGUUGUAAACAGAUUUCGACUGUGACGAAGAGUGAGUGACGGUAAUGGGUAAAGAAGCAACGGCUAACUACGUG
rnacentral:rRNA from 1 species